AUCUACAGACACAGACGCGUGUGUGCAUUCUAUGUGCGAGCACGUCUCUCAGCAACUGACGAAUCUACUUGAGUUACAGGAAGUUGUGGAAAUGGUUUCAAAUGGACAUUUUAAUCGUGCUCUUGUGUCGCACUCACCCAAUGAAUUUCCAAUAACUUUUAUUGGUCUUGUACAACAAAUCACAAAUAGCUCUAUACCUUUAGCUAAUGGAAGCUGUUAAAUGUUUUUUUUUUUGGCCAUCUUCAUAGUUGUAAUCAAUCUCAGAUGGUUGAACUUCAAAAACUGGGAUAGUACUCUCAACUGUCAAGCACAUCAAAAGCUAAGGAUUAUUCUUGUAUUCAAAACCUGAUGUACCUAUUAAAGCUUACAUUUUA